GUGCAUAUCAAUAAGCGGAGGAAAAGAAACCAACAGGGAUUGCCUCAGUAACGGCGAGUGAAGCGGCAAAAGCUCAAAUUUGAAAUCUGGUACCUUUGGUGCCCGAGUUGUAAUUUGAAGAUAGUUUUCUGGUGCUGGCCCUUGUCUAUGUUCCUUGGAACAGGACGUCACAGAGGGUGAGAAUCCCGUCUGGCGGGGUGUCCAGUGCUUUGUAGAUUUCUAUCGACGAGUCGAGUUGUUUGGGAAUGCAGCUCUAAGUGGGUGGUAAAUUCCAUCUAAAGCUAAAUAUUGGCGAGAGACCGAUAGCGAACAAGUACAGUGAUGGAAAGAUGAAAAGAACUUUGAAAAGAGAGUGAAAAAGUACGUGAAAUUGUUGAAAGGGAAGGGUAUUAGAUCAGACUUGGUGUUUUGUGAUUAUCUUCCCUUCUUGGGUUGUGCACUCGCAUUUCACUGGGCCAGCAUCGGUUCGGGUGGUAAGAUAAUGACAUUGGAACGUGGCACUGCCUUCGGGUGGUGUGUUAUAGCCCUUGUUGAUGUUGCCUACCUGGACCGAGGACUGCGGCUUUUGCCUAGGAUGCUGGCGUAAUGAUCGAACACCGCCCGUCUUG
rnacentral:rRNA from 1 species